CGUACCAUGAAAGUAGAGGGUGAAGAAAAGAAAAAUCAAUGAAAGAGAUGUGAAACACAGAAAAUUAUUAACCCUUCCAAUCAAUAUUUGUCUUGGAAAAUAAGAUUAUCAACAAGAGAAAUUUCUAAUCCGAAUACCAACAUGUACGAAAAUUAAGGUCGAUUUAUCCUCUGAGCAGUCACUCAAGAAACGAUGGUUGAACAGGGUUGUAAAUGUGAAGUCAACUGGAAUAUCAAGAUCUAUAACAACAUAAUUAAUCUAAAUAACCUCACCCACAAAGGUGAAUAGAGGCAGAACUCAUCCGAUAUAGUUGAUGUCUCAAAGCUGCUAAUACUGCCUGAGAUAUUUGUGCUGCCUACAGAGAAGUUGCAAUUACUGAACCAACUGCAUAGAAAUGGUUUUCAUGCUUCAAGGAGAGAAAAUUCAACCUCACAGACCAAUCAAUUCAGUUCAAUCAGGAUCUUUUGAAAUAUCUCGUUAAUGAGUAUCCGUACCUAUCCACUUGGGAAUUGGCCAAGCAGAUGGGAUGCUCACACAGUACUAUCAUCUGUCACUUUCACUCAAUGGGUAAAGUCCCAAAACUUGGUGUAUGUGUGUACACGUUCUGAAUGAAAGAGACAACUCCAGUGAUCUUCUAUCACCAUCAGUUUGCUUACCUGACACCAGGUUAUUGAUAGACACAGAUAGACACAAGCCUUUACCGAUGAUGAGACAUGGUGUCUUUAUGUCAAUAUG